rnacentral:rRNA from 1 species
UACGUAGGGUGCAAGCGUUAAUCGGAAUACUGGGCGUAAAGCGUGCGCAGGCGGCUAUGCAAGACAGAUGUGAAAUCCCCGGGCUCAACCCCGGGAACUGCGUCCGAUACUGGAAGGCUUGAAUCCGGGAGAGGGAUGCGGAAUUCCAGGUGUAGUGGUGAAAUGCGUAGAUAUCGGGAGGAACACCAGUGGCGAAGGGCGACUACCUGGCCUGUUCUUGACGCUGAGGCGCGAAAGCUAGGGGAGCAAACGGGG